UCGAACGAGAAUUCAGAGCUUGCUCUGGAGGAAAGUGGCGCACGGGUGAGUAACGCGUAGGCAACCUACCCCUAGAAUUGGAAUAACUCCGGGAAACCGAAGCUAAUACCGAAUAACAUUAUUUGACCGCAUGGUCGAAUAAUCAAAACUCCGGUGUCUAGGGAUGGGCCUGCGUAGGAUUAGGUAGUUGGUGGGGUAACGGCCCACCAAGCCGACGAUCCUUAGCUGGUCUGAGAGGAUGAUCAGCCACACUGGCACUGAGACACGGGCCAGACUCC
rnacentral:rRNA from 2 species